UGAACAUGUUAGUAGCCUACAUUGUGACAACCUGUCCUAGAAAUACAGUACAUGUCAAAGUUGAGCCGUCUGGCUUAUGGCUCAACAUCUAACUACUGUGCUGUAUUAGGCCCUGAAGGUGAGCGACCAUUACCCUGUGGAGGUAGAGCUGAAAAGGAAAACACCAACAGAACAGAGCUCUGCGACUGGGAAAUAGAACCCUGUACAUGGACAGGAGGACGGAGGAAGUGAGUGAAGAGGUGAUGGAGAUGGAGAAGAAGCCUUAUCCAACCAGAGAAGCUGAAUUUAGAGAUACUGGUGCUGAAGAUUCGGAUGGUCAAGCUUAGGAACACUUACGUUGAUCUGUGAUUCAAUCUUACCACAAUACUAGUCAUAUUAAUACUGUAUAUCAUGUUUGUAUGUCUAGUGUAGCUACUGAUCUAAUACUGAUGUGUAUCUUGACAGAAUCUCAAAUAAAGAUGGAGUGAAAAUCC